rnacentral:rRNA from 1 species
AGCAGCUUGCUGUUUCGCUGACGAGUGGCGGACGGGUGAGUAAUGUCUGGGAAACUGCCUGAUGGAGGGGGAUAACUACUGGAAACGGUAGCUAAUACCGCAUAACGUCGCAAGACCAAAGAGGGGGACCUUCGGGCCUCUUGCCAUCGGAUGUGCCCAGAUGGGAUUAGCUAGUAGGUGGGGUAACGGCUCACCUAGGCGACGAUCCCUAGCUGGUCUGAGAGGAUGACCAGCCACACUGGAACUGAGACACGGUCCAGACUCCUACGGGAGGCAGCAGUGGGGAAUAUUGCACAAUGGGCGCAAGCCUGAUGCAGCCAUGCCGCGUGUAUGAAGAAGGCCUUCGGGUUGUAAAGUACUUUCAGCGGGGAGGAAGGGAGUAAAGUUAAUACCUUUGCUCAUUGACGUUACCCGCAGAAGAAGCACCGGCUAACUCCGUGCCAGCAGCCGCGGUAAUACGGAGGGUGCAAGCGUUAAUCGGAAUUACUGGGCGUAAAGCGCACGCAGGCGGUUUGUUAAGUCAGAUGUGAAAUCCCCGGGCUCAACCUGGGAACUGCAUCUGAUACUGGCAAGCUUGAGUCUCGUAGAGGGGGGUAGAAUUCCAGGUGUAGCGGUGAAAUGCGUAGAGAUCUGGAGGAAUACCGGUGGCGAAGGCGGCCCCCUGGACGAAGACUGACGCUCAGGUGCGAAAGCGUGGGGAGCAAACAGGAUU